rnacentral:rRNA from 1 species
GCUGGCGGCGUGCUUAACACAUGCAAGUCGAACGGAAAGGCCCUUCGGGGUACUCGAGUGGCGAACGGGUGAGUAACACGUGGGUGAUCUGCCCUGCACUUUGGGAUAAGCCUGGGAAACUGGGUCUAAUACCGAAUAUGACCACGCUCUUCAUGGGGUGUGGUGGAAAGCUUUUGCGGUGUGGGAUGGGCCCGCGGCCUAUCAGCUUGUUGGUGGGGUAAUGGCCUACCAAGGCGACGACGGGUAGCCGGCCUGAGAGGGUGACCGGCCACACUGGGACUGAGAUACGGCCCAGACUCCUACGGGAGGCAGCAGUGGGGAAUAUUGCACAAUGGGCGCAAGCCUGAUGCAGCGACGCCGCGUGAGGGAUGACGGCCUUCGGGUUGUAAACCUCUUUCACCAGGGACGAAGCGUAAGUGACGGUACCUGGAGAAGAAGCACCGGCCAACUACGUGCCAGCAGCCGCGGUAAUACGUAGGGUGCGAGCGUUGUCCGGAAUUACUGGGCGUAAAGAGCUCGUAGGUGGUUUGUCGCGUUGUUCGUGAAAACUCACAGCUUAACUGUGGGCGUGCGGGCGAUACGGGCAGACUAGAGUACUGCAGGGGAGACUGGAAUUCCUGGUGUAGCGGUGGAAUGCGCAGAUAUCAGGAGGAACACCGGUGGCGAAGGCGGGUCUCUGGGCAGUAACUGACGCUGAGGAGCGAAAGCGUGGGGAGCGAACAGGAUUAGAUACCCUGGUAGUCCACGCCGUAAACGGUGGGUACUAGGUGUGGGUUUCCUUCCUUGGGAUCCGUGCCGUAGCUA